AAAAAAGAAAAGAACAAAAGAAAAAAAAUAAAAAAAGAAAGGAAAAGAAAAAUAAAAAAAGGGGGGCGUGUGCUUCAUGGAGGGGUGUCACGGCCCAUGGAAUUGAUUUUGGUGGAGGAAAAUGUAGCACAUUGUUUCGGUGCUGGAUGAAGGAAAUUUAUGAAGCAUUUUAUUUUCUUUCCUUUGGGGGGAUUCGGUUACGUUAAUUUUAGUACAGCACGAUCAAAUUGAUUUUUGCUUUGAAAUUGGAAGCACAGGACUCACAACAUCUAUCCUUCGUGGCACAAUUAUUUUCCUUUAAAAAAUAAAAAUGGAGAUUGAAGCUUGGGGAGAAAAAGAAAAGAAUCACGGAUUCCAUUUUGGAAGAGGCACUCAUCAGGCAACAAGGGAAGAACUUCACCAUACCUCCAACAACAUCCAACAUACACACA
rnacentral:lncRNA from 1 species